CAGUCGCCGCGGGAAUACGGAGGGUGCAAGCGUUAAUCGGAAUUACUGGGCGUAAAGCGUGCGUAGGCGGUUCGUUAAGUCUGUUGUGAAAGCCCCGGGCUCAACCUGGGAAUGGCAAUGGAUACUGGCGAGCUAGAGUGUGUCAGAGGAUGGUGGAAUUCCCGGUGUAGCGGUGAAAUGCGUAGAGAUCGGGAGGAACAUCAGUGGCGAAGGCGGCCAUCUGGGACAACACUGACGCUGAGGCACGAAAGCGUGGGGAGCAAACAGGAUUAGAUACCCCCGUAGUCCCUGUCUCUUAUAC
rnacentral:rRNA from 1 species